CUGAGAGUCAUGUCAGCCACAAGCAAGUUAUGCUCAUUUUAUAUUUAAGAAAUCGAGGCCCAGAGAAGCCUACAGGUGGACAAAUCAUCUGAUGAGCUGCUGUUGACAAAGUUGUCAUCCUUCUUUAAAAAUGUGGACAGAACUGUAUCUGAGUCUACAAAGACACACAGAGGUGGGUUUCCCAUGAGGAACUGA
rnacentral:lncRNA from 1 species